GAUGAACGCUGGCGGCGUGCCUAAUACAUGCAAGUCGAGCGAACGGACGGGAAGCUUGCUUCUCUGAUGUUAGCGGCGGACGGGUGAGUAACACGUGGAUAACCUACCUAUAAGACUGGGAUAACUUCGGGAAACCGGAGCUAAUACCGGAUAAUACUUUGAACCGCAUGGUUCAAAAGUGAAAGACGGUCUUGCUGUCACUUAUAGAUGGAUCCGCGCUGCAUUAGCUAGUUGGUAAGGUAACGGCUUACCAAGGCAACGAUGCAUAGCCGACCUGAGAGGGUGAUCGGCCACACUGGAACUGAGACACGGUCCAGACUCCUACGGGAGGCAGCAGUAGGGAAUCUUCCGCAAUGGGCGAAAGCCUGACGGAGCAACGCCGCGUGAGUGAUGAAGGUCUUCGGAUCGUAAAACUCUGUUAUUAGGGAAGAACAUAUGUGUAAGUAACUGUGCACAUCUUGACGGUACCUAAUCAGAAAGCCACGGCUAACUACGUG
rnacentral:rRNA from 1 species